rnacentral:piRNA from 1 species
UAAUUUUGUUCAGUUGAAGUGUCCUUAGU